rnacentral:tRNA from 1 species
GCGCCGAUAGUUCAGUGGUUAAAUUAUUUCCACAAAGAAUUUUGGCCUUCCAAGCCGAAGACCUGGGUUCAAAUCCCAGUCGGCGCA